rnacentral:rRNA from 1 species
UUCGCAAUGCCCGAAAGGGUGACGAAGCGACGCCGCGUGGGUGAGGAAGGCCUUCGGGUUGUAAAGCCCUGUCAGGAGUUAAGAAAUAUAAGUGCGCUAAUAUCGCAUUUAUUUGACGAAGGCUCCAAAGGAAGUCACGGCUAACUCUGUGCCAGCAGCCGCGGUAAUACAGAGGUGGCAAGCGUUGUUCGGAAUUAUUGGGCGUAAAGAGCACGUAGGUGGGUUUGUAAGUCAGAUGUGAAAGCCUUCUGUUCAACGGAAGAAUUGCAUCUGAAACUGCGAGUCUUGAGUGUAGGAGGGGAGAAUGGAACUUCUGGUGGAGCGGUGAAAUGCGUAGAUAUCAGAAGGAACGCCGGCGGCGAAAGCGAUUCUCUGGCCUAUUACUGACACUCAGUGUGCGAAAGCUAGGGGAGCAAACGGGAUUAGAUACCCCGGUAGUCCUAGCCGUAAACGAUGGGCACUAAGUAGAGGGGUUUU